GGCGAGGAUUCGGGGUGCGGAUUGUUCGGUGCCGCUGGACCCGGGGAAGCUCAUCUGGGAGACGCUGAUCGACAGCCAGCUGACGCCCGACACGGCCAGCCGGUUCCUGCACCGCCUGGGCCACACCAUGGUGGAGGGGCCGGAGGCCACGCUCUGGAUGUUCGGGGGCCUGUCCCUGCGCCAGGGGCUGCUGGGCAACGUCUACAGGUACUCCAUCCCUGAGCGCCGCUGGACCCAGAUGCUGGCGGGGACGGAGGACGGGGC